rnacentral:rRNA from 1 species
GAUGAACGCUGGCGGCGUGCCUAAUACAUGCAAGUCGAGCGAACGGACGAGAAGCUUGCUCUUCUGAUGUUAGCGGCGGACGGGUGAGUAACACGUGGAUAACCUACCUAUAAGACUGGGAUAACUUCGGGAAACCGGAGCUAAUACCGGAUAAUAUUUUGAACCGCAUGGUUCAAAAGUGAAAGACGGUCUUGCUGUCUCUUAUAGAUGGAUCCGCGCUGCAUUAGCUAGUUGGUAAGGUAACGGCUUACCAAGGCAACGAUGCGUAGCCGACCUGAGAGGGUGAUCGGCCACACUGGAACUGAGACACGGUCCAGACUCCUACGGGAGGCAGCAGUAGGGAAUCUUCCGCAAUGGGCGAAAGCCUGACGGAGCAACGCCGCGUGAGUGAAGAAGGUCUUCGGAUCGUAAAACUCUGUUAUUAGGGAAGAACAUAUGUGUAAGUAACUGUGCACGUCUUGACGGUACCUAAUCAGAAAGCCACGGCUAACUACGUG